GGCUGUAGCUCAGUUGGAUAGAGUGUUUGGCUACGAACCAAAAGGUCGGGGGUUCGAAUCCCUUCA
rnacentral:tRNA from 1 species